UUAACUAUUAUAUAGUACUCAGACGACACUAACAUUCAGAGUUUAGGGGUCCUCUGGCGGGCACGCUAGACGCGAAUCUAGGCGCACGAGGCGCGGCCCGCCAAAGCAACAUUCUAUAAUGAUACACAAGGGUGGGAGAUCUACCCCGAAGGGCAUGAACUCUGUAAUGAUCCUUCCGCAGGUUCACCUACGGAAA
rnacentral:misc_RNA from 1 species